rnacentral:rRNA from 1 species
CCUACGGGAGGCAGCAGUAGGGAAUCUUCCACAAUGGACGAAAGUCUGAUGGAGCAACCCCGCGUGAGUGAAGAAGGGUUUCCGCUCGGAAAGCUCUCUUGGUAGUGAAGGAAGAUAGAGGUAAUAACUGGCCCUUAUUUGACGGUAAUUACUUAGAAAGUCACGGCUAACUACGUGCCAGCAGCCGCGGUAAUACGUAGGUGGCCAGCGUUUUCCGGAUUUAUUGGGCUUAAAGCGAGCGCAGGCGGUU